rnacentral:rRNA from 1 species
UACGUAGGCAGCAAGCGUUGUUCGGAGUUAUUGGGCGUAAAGGGCUCGUAGGCGGUCUGUCGCGUCGGGAGUGAAAACUCAGGGCUUAACCCUGAGCCUGCUUCCGAUACGGGCAGACUAGAGGUAUGCAGGGGAGAACGGAAUUCCUGGUGUAGCGGUGGAAUGCGCAGAUAUCAGGAGGAACACCGGUGGCGAAGGCGGUUCUCUGGGCAUUACCUGACGCUGAGGAGCGAAAGUGUGGGGAGCGAACAGG